AUGUCAACAUCAGAGGGUUCGGAGAGUGCUGAUUCCAUGGAUGAGAAUACGAGUCAAGUACCACAUGUUAGAAGGUCCAAGGUAUGGGAGCAUUAUGAAGUAUAUCUGGUUCUCAUAGAUGGUGAUCUCAAGGCUGUGUGCAAAUACUGUGGAGCGCAACUUCACACCAAGUUUGGGACUAGUAGUUUG
rnacentral:rRNA from 1 species